GAUGAAGAACGUAGCGAAAUGCGAUAAGUAAUGUGAAUUGCAGAAUUCAGUGAAUCAUCGAAUCUUUGAACGCACCUUGCGCCCUUUGGCCAUUCCGAAGGGCAUGCCUGUUUGAGUAUCAUGAACACCUCAACUCUUUAUGCUUUUCCAUGAUGAGCUUGGACUUUGGGGGUUUUGCUGGCCUAUGGUCGGCUCCUCUAAAAUAAAUCAGCUUACCGGUGUUUGGUGGGUAUCAUGGGUGUGAUAACUAUCUACGCUUGUGGUUUUUCCACCAGGUAACCUUCGACAGCGGAGGUUCACUGGAGCUCAUAGAUGUCUCUCCUCAGCGAGGACAGCCCUUUGAAUGUUUGAUCUCAAAUCAGGUAGGACUACCCGCUGAACUUAAGCAUAUCAAUAAGCGGAGGA
rnacentral:misc_RNA from 1 species